ensembl:snRNA RNU4-18P RNA, U4 small nuclear 18, pseudogene
AGCUUUGUGCAUUGGCAGUAUAGUAGCCAAUGAGGUUUAUUUGAGGUAUGAUUAUUGCUCAUAAAAAUUUUACAAAGGCAAAAAUAGGGUGAGGGUGCUGGGCACAGUGUCUCACACCAGCAAUCCCAAUGCUUAAAAGAAGCCAAGGC